UUGAUCUAUUUGAUUAACAAGUUAUGUUAAUCUAUCAAAUGGCUUAUUUGUAAAUAAAGCAAACAAUGAAUGCAACAUCUCAGCUUUCGUUGUCUGAUGUAACAUUCAAUGGUGGACGCUUAUGCUGAGUCGGGCGAAGAUGUUGCUAACAGAGGUUAACUGUAAGAGUUAACGGGGUGUCGAAAAGCUUACGCCAUUGAAGCUUCCACCAUUGAAGCUUCCUCCUUCCUUCCCCGAUCUCCAGCCAUCUCCCACCGACACUACCAUCUUCACCGUGUCCAUCUUCCACCACACCGCUUCCUCAUCUCCACCUUCAUUCCACCGACACCGCUUCCUCAUCUCCAGGCCACCUUCAUUCCACCGACGGCACUACCAUCUCCGGCAGUUUCACCGCCAAAUCAAAUGAAAACCCUAUGAUUAAAGGGUGAAGUUAAGAAUUCAAAUUGUAGUCGUACGGUAUACAAUCGAUGUUUAAGAAAGGUCAUCUCCAUCUCUCUUGAGUUGAGGAAGCCCACAAAUAACUUUUCGACAUUACUUGCAUUGGAGUGGCUUUUGAGGAAUUUUGUUAGUGCCUGAUUGACCGGAUAAGUUUUGAGAUACUACCUACAUUACAUCCUUGGAGUUGAUAUUGAUGAUACAAUGUAGACAUGCAGUUAUAUCAUCAGUUCAUCACCCCUUCUCUGUGGAUAGCCAAAAGCUUCCAGGAUAUGAAAAGAGGAAAAUAUAUUUUUGAAUUCAGGCUGGUGAGGAGACUUUGCUUUGGAAGGGGUCCUGGGUCAGGAUUGAAAAUCAGAGGAGCAAUGGCAGAGAUAUGAGGUUUUAAAGUUGGUUUUUAAAGUUGAAGCGGCUUCUGAAUUUUCCAUCCUUCAAUGAAUUAGAUUAUGAGAUUAGCGGUGGCAGUAGUGGUGGUGGAUGUUUUGAAGAUCAGGUGAUUCAAAGGUUCUAGCCAAGGAUGAUGAAAAUAACGUUUGAGCAUUGUACAUAUGGGGGAAACACAAGAACAGAACUAGGGCAAAUAAACAGAUUCAGCUAGAGAAGACUUGGUCAAAGCUCGUAAAUAUGCUCCUGAUGACAUGGUUUUUGCUUAGCAUGAAAAUUUUGUAGCUAGAACCAGAAGGGGCAUGGCAAAGAAAUGCUGGGACAAAGAACUGAACCCAAGAGAUCUAUUGCAAAAUCUUUGAGGCUGCUUGAUGUGUUUAGUUUAUUGCAAGCUUAUUUGUACCUUUUUUAAUUUUUUUCUCUAUGUAACUAGCAACUUGCUUUUUAAAGACUGCAUUUUGUGGUGUUCAUUAAAUUUACAUGUGAUGUGUUCUUUAUCUUUUGUUUCAUUUAUCUUCACAUUCUGUAAAAUUUAUUCUUAGAGUGUCUUUGCUAAAUUUCCUUAGUAUUAUUUCAGGAGGUUAUGACUUGCU